CAAAGUCAGGGGAAUGGGACUUCCCUGUUAUAAACCGCUAAUAAAGUAGCUGAUAGUUCCUGCCGGAGU
rnacentral:ncRNA from 10 species